CCAAUCAUCCAAUAAAUAGAAAACAUGAUUAGGCGAAGUUCAACUCCCGAUGUUUUGCAAACAUCUCUUAGUAUAUAUCAAUUCAAAAGUCCCCUUGCACAAAAAUAUGCCCCCUUGCCUUCACAUCGUUCCGGCGUCCCUGAUGUUAGCCAUGGCAUUCUGUGGUCAUGGCCUUGAUGGCAACACGAAUGCACGAUCGUUUUUACUUUUUCAUUUUUUGUGCAAAACGCAAAAAAUAUUAAUGAAGUUUACCUCUUUUAACUAUCGAACUAACAAUUUCUAAAAUACAUAAAGUAGGUAUGUUAUUUUUCACUCUAUAAGCUUGAAUUUAAGGUAAUAUUCAACCUUGAACGCUUCACGAAAUGUUCAUUUAACUUUAUAUAUGCUGUUGUUUGGCAGUUUUUGCCACUGAUGGUUUUUGCCG